rnacentral:lncRNA from 1 species
GCACAUACCAUCUCAUGUAAAAUAUGCCAGGCAAUGGUGGCCUGCUCAUACUGAACCUGUCUUAGAAAUCAAGGUGGAGAGCACCUGAAAAUGACAAUCAAGCCUGUCUUCUGGUCCCCACAUACACCCACACACUUGUGUAUCUGCACACACACACAUACACACACACACACACAAGCACACAGAGCUCAGUCUAGAUUACGUGCAUGAGUCUACCCUUGCCAAUUAGCCAAAAGACUUAAGAUCAGUUAUUCUAAUGUGAUUGAAUAAUUUCAAUUGAUAAUUACAAGAAUAGAAGUUGACCAGGCUGUCAGUAGGACUCUUUGUAGCUCUGUGCUUCUGAAAUACUAUAAUUUUUAGAGUUCUGUAAACUGUAGUUGGAAAUGUUUGUGUGUUCAUUCUUCUUUUUUUCUUUUCUUUUUUUUGAGGCAGGGUUUCUCUGUGUAGCCCUGGCUGUUCUGGAACUCACUUUGUAGACCAGGCUGACCUCGGUGUUCAUUAUUCUUUAGGGUUGUGGAGAAUCAGCGUUAGCACCUGUCACUCAUUAUUAUCUAAGAACAAAUUUAUGUCAUAAGGAACAGAAAGAGAUACCAGUACUAGUGUAUCUCACCAUUUUCCAAACAUCUCUGAUUGUUUGUAUUUUUCUGGUACUCUGACAAACACCAUGCCAGGAAGCAGUAGGUAGAGGGAAGGACUUCUGUGGCUUACAGUUGCAGGUUACAGUCCAUCAUUCUGGUGAAAGGCUAAAGCUCAAACACCUCGUAAUAUCAUACCCACAAGAGUAAGGAAAGAAUAUAUGUAUCUUUGCCUCUCGUGUUGUUCAGCAUUUCCUUGCUAGGGAAUGGUACUGCUGGCUGGGGCUUCCUACAUCAAUUAUCAAGGCGAUCCCUCAGACAUACCCACAGGCCAACCUCAGUGAGGUUCUGUUCACAGUUAGUUUGAAGUCAUCAGCUUGACAGUAAAGACUGACUAGCACACCUCUUCAUAAGGAGAAGAGAGAGAUGUUCAGCCAGUGAAGACUCAGACUAUCUUUGGAUAUUCUUUUGUCUGUCUUUUUUUAUUUCUGUAUUCUAUUUCUAGAAUUGUCCACUGAGGGCUGCUUAUGUGAGAGCUUGGGCACAGUCAUUGCAUGAAUCAAGGUGGACUCUACAGAAAGAUGGAGGGUUUUCCCCUCCCCUCUGUUCACUGUGCUUCAAAUUCCCAGGAUGAAGGAAAGAAAGGCCGUUGCUUACAGUAAUCACUGUACUUCACUGCACUCUUCCACCAAAAUGAAAUCUCUUCGUUUUAGAGACACCCAAGAAGACUUGAGGCCCUUACAGCCCUGUUAGUGCAGGGAGGAGGGGGUGGGGCUGUCUGAGCAUGGCUGUUCAUUGCUGCCUGUUUUUCAUCGAUUCGUGUAAUUGAAGUCUUCAAAAUACCUUGUGGGUUUUAUUCAUAUAAAUGCCUUCCUUACAG